ACACAUGCAAGUCGAACGGUAACAGGAUGUGCUUGCACAUCGCUGACGAGUGGCGGACGGGUGAGUAAUGCUUGGGAACUUGCCUUUGCGAGGGGGAUAACAGUUGGAAACGACUGCUAAUACCGCAUAAUGUCUUCGGACCAAACGGGGCUUAGGCUCCGGCGCAAAGAGAGGCCCAAGUGAGAUUAGCUAGUUGGUAAGGUAACGGCUUACCAAGGCGACGAUCUCUAGCUGUUCUGAGAGGAAGAUCAGCCACACUGGGACUGAGACACGGCCCAGACUCCUACGGGAGGCAGCAGUGGGGAAUAUUGCACAAUGGGGGAAACCCUGAUGCAGCCAUGCCGCGUGUGUGAAGAAGGCCUUCGGGUUGUAAAGCACUUUCAGUUGUGAGGAAAAGUUAGUAGUUAAUACCUGCUAGCCGUGACGUUAACAACAGAAGAAGCACCGGCUAACUCCGUGCCAGCAGCCGCGGUAAUACGGAGGGUGCGAGCGUUAAUCGGAAUUACUGGGCGUAAAGCGCACGCAGGCGGUUUGUUAAGCUAGAUGUGAAAGCCCCGGGCUCAACCUGGGAUGGUCAUUUAGAACUGGCAGACUAGAGUCUUGGAGAGGGGAGUGGAAUUCCAGGUGUAGCGGUGAAAUGCGUAGAUAUCUGGAGGAACAUCAGUGGCGAAGCGACUCCUGGCCAAAGACUGACGCUCAUGUGCGAAAGUGUGGGUAGCGAACAGGAU
rnacentral:rRNA from 1 species